UACGUAGGGCGCGAGCGUUGUCCGGAAUUAUUGGGCGUAAAGAGCUCGUAGGCGGCCUGUUGCGUCCGCUGUGAAAUCCCGAGGCUCAACCUCGGGCCUGCAGUGGGUACGGGCAGACUGGAGUGCGGUAGGGGAGAAUGGAAUUCCUGGUGUAGCGGUGGAAUGCGCAGAUAUCAGGAGGAACACCAAUUGCGAAGGCAGCUCGCUGGGACGUUACUGACGCUGAGACGCGAAAGCGUGGGGAGCAAACAGG
rnacentral:rRNA from 1 species